UAAGGCUUUAGCUUAAUAAAAGUGUUUGAGUUGCAUUCAGGAGAUAUGGGGUAGUUACCCAUAAGUCUUA
rnacentral:tRNA from 1 species